rnacentral:rRNA from 1 species
GACGAACGCUGGCGGCGUGCCUAAUACAUGCAAGUAGAACGCACAGUUUAUACCGUAGCUUGCUACACCAUAGACUGUGAGUUGCGAACGGGUGAGUAACGCGUAGGUAACCUGCCUGGUAGCGGGGGAUAACUAUUGGAAACGAUAGCUAAUACCGCAUAAUAUUGAUUAUUGCAUGAUAAUUAAUUGAAAGGUGCAAUUGCACCACUACCAGAUGGACCUGCGUUGUAUUAGCUAGUAGGUGAGGUAACGGCUCACCUAGGCGACGAUACAUAGCCGAACUGAGAGGGUGAUCGGCCACACUGGGACUGAGACACGGCCCAGACUCCUACGGGAGGCAGCAGUAGGGAAUCUUCGGCAAUGGACGAAAGUCUGACCGAGCAACGCCGCGUGAGUGAAGAAGGUUUUCGGAUCGUAAAGCUCUGUUGUAAGAGAAGAACGGGUGUGAGAGUGGAAAGUUCACACUGUGACGGUAUCUUACCAGAAAGGGACGGCUAACUACGUG